rnacentral:rRNA from 1 species
AUGUGGUGCUCCCCCCACGUUCCAAGCCGAAGGUGCCUCCUGAAGAUAGGACAAGAAAAGAGGGAGGCAGAUCCACCGCGACCAAGAGCAGGUCAGGCGGCGGCCAUGGCACGCCCAGAUCCGCCAGCGCCAUCGUCAUCGAGCACCUCUGCUCCGAGCGUCGGAUCCACCUCGGGCUCCAUCUACACAACCACGCACUGGCAGCCGCUGCCAUGGAAGGUUCUCUAUGUGCUUGCUUCUUCCCUUCCCAAGACGCUGUUGCUCCGACGCCAUGGAUAA